GGUGAAUGCUGGCGGUAUGGAUAAGGCAUGCAAGUCGAAUGGGUUAGACCCAUGGCAGACGAGGUAGUAACGGGUAGGAACGUCCCUGGAAGUCGGGCAUAAUCAGCCGAAAGGUUGGAUAAUUCCCGAUGGUCUCGCAAGAGUAAAGAUUUAUCGCUUCCAGAGCGGCCUGCUUUGUAUCAGCUAGUUGGUGAGGUAAUGGCUCACCAAGGCUAUGACGCAUAGGGGACCUGAGAGGGUGACCCCCACCGAUCGGACUGAGACACGGCCCAGACUCCUACGGGAGGCAGCAGUGGGGAAUCUUGGACAAUGGGCGCAAGCCUGAUCCAGCCAUGCCGCGUGAGUGACGAAGGCCUUAGGGUUGUAAAGCUCUUUUGCCGGGGACGAUAAUGACGGUACCCGGAGAAUAAGUCCCGGCUAACUUCGUGCCAGCCGCCGCCGUAA
rnacentral:rRNA from 1 species